UGGCAUGGCAGUUUUGGACAAACUGCUCUAGAAUCUGGAGCAUAAGUCUCAACGCCCUGACUUUUUAUAGUUCCUCAGAUCUAGAAAUUUAUACGGACGGAAAUGGACAAAUCGCGGUUUUUAUUAUUUUACGAAAAUUGAAGCAGUAGUCAACCUGCGCUGCAUACAGGCUUAGUCCCAACUAGCACUUAAGGUUCGCGAUGUUCCCAAGUUCAUACAAUCGGGCAGACGGACAAAAGACCAUGGGAAAGCACGACUCGUUUUGUAAUCAUGGACUACAGAGAACUCAUAUACACCCACUUACAAAAAAUCCAAUUUAAUUUUUCGCUGCUCAAGUCACAAAACUAUUGACAAUGAAGACAAACCCGGAUCAAAUAAAACCACAAGGUCCACCCAAAUAAUACGCCUCUAAGAGAAGGAAUUGAACAACAUUGUAAAUGAACCAACACCACCAAAAACGAAACAGGACGUAGAAGAUUAAUUGCCCUUCAUACCUAAAAUAUUGGAAAUGUAAAGCGACAGCUAACUGAGCUCGCCAACCGUUGAAAUCCGACGAACAUAGCGUAAGGCUCGGGUGGUUGUUUGAAGAUAUUCCAAGACGCACGCGAAAAGGUCCACCUGCUCCUUGUCGGUUAUGUGGGUGGUGCUCUUUUCCUGGAAUCUCAGCCUUAUUUCAUUGUGACGAUUAACGAUAUGAUUGCGUGCUACGAGCUUUCGCUCGAUCCUCAACUGUGGUGAAGGAUUAUGUAAUGCCCGUCCUUCCUUGGCCAUUCUAUACAGAAAAUCCCAAAAAGUUAUCAUCCUGAAUGGCCCCUCACAGGGAAUACAUCCUAGUCAGAGUUUUUUUACAGCUAUUAUACGGACGGAAGGAUGAUCUCCUUGGAAAAUAAUUAAAUUAGACAAAAUAGUUUUAGAUUUAAGAAACUUAUCAGACUUGCAACCCAAGAAAUAAUUAAAAAUAAAAUAAAUUGCUCUGGGCAUAGAACACCAUAUACGCAUGUAUACAGUCGGCAGCCAAACACAAAACGAACAAAAAUAAACAUAGAAAUAAGCGCUCUCAUGUUAUAUAAAUUGCAAGGACCAAAAAUAUUCUAGUUAUUCUAGUGUCUUUGGUCUAUGGCUUUACCCUACAUACUGCCAACCAUCCGGAUGACAGACAACAUCCUUGCUAGAUCAAAUAUCUCUCAUCGCCACUUUAUCUCAAAAUCAUAUCCAGGAAGUAACUAUUCAGCUGACUGCAAGCAGAGGAAACUUUAAUGUUGCCUUAAUAUACUGCCCUCCGACACUUAGAUGAACAGUUGCCAUUGCUGGGCAGUUCAUCACACACAAUUGGAGAAGCCACAUGCUACCCCCACCGUGCAACUGCCUCUCCAAGUGCCAUAGAUUUUGGGAUCUCCAAUGGCUUUAGACAGCAACUAAUCAGGGUGAAAGUGCUGACAGAACUGUUAUCUGACCAUCAUCUGCCAUUGAUUGAAGACGCCGAAUCAUUUCGAAGUGUUAAAAAAAUGCUGUCUCCACAAGCGAGAAUUCGGAUCUUUAAAGAACACAUCGAGGCUACUGUAGAACUCAACAUUUCCAUUGACACUUUGCAGUAGGAUGGAAGCGUACGUCGACUACUUCACAUCGGCGAUCAUUGAAGCUGCAAGGCAGGCUACACCAAGUUGGUCUCACGGCCAUAAGGCCUGCCAUUUUAAGCUUGGAGGCU